rnacentral:rRNA from 1 species
AUGGCUCCAUGGCGGCUGCUGGCUCGAGGCAGGGGAGCGGCCGAUGCGGGGUCGGUUGGAUCGAGGCGGGGAGCGGCGGAUGCGGCGUCGGCGUCGGCGGCGGUGGCAGGAGAAGAGAGGCGGUGGCGGCGUCGACCUGCAAAGAGGCGAAAGGAGCAGUGGUGGCGGCGUCGAGCUGCGAAGAGGCGCCGCUCAGGCGCGAGACCAUGGAGGCGGGAGUGCCUGCUUCGGGCCCCGAUCUCGGAGGGUACGAGGCAGGGAAGGGCGACAUUGCCGGCGUCACAGCGCGUGGAGCCUGAGCCCCUGAUGAUGGGCGACGCCAAGGCCCCGCGACCGCGACAGGGAGCUCCUCAUCCGCCGUCUCCGGCGGCAGCGGCGGCGGCUCGGUCCCCCGCGCCGAGGACGACGACGACUUGGACAGGAGUAGGGAUGUUGACCCUUGGCGAGUGUUUGUUGUGCUGA